rnacentral:rRNA from 1 species
UGGGGAAUAUUGCACAAUGGGCGAAAGCCUGAUGCAGCAACGCCGCGUGAGGGACGACGGCCUUCGGGUUGUAAACCUCUUUAGCAAGGAAGAAGCGAAAGUGACGGUACUUGCAGAAAAAGCGCCGGCUAACUACGUGCCAGCAGCCGCGGUAAUACGUAGGGCGCAAGCGUUAUCCGGAAUUAUUGGGCGUAAAGAGCUCGUAGGCGGUUUGUCGCGUCUGCUGUGAAAACCCGAGGCUCAACCUCGGGCCUGCAGUGGGUACGGGCAGACUAGAGUGCGGUAGGGGAGAUUGGAACUCCUGGUGUAGCGGUGGAAUGCGCAGAUAUCAGGAAGAACACCGAUGGCGAAGGCAGAUCUCUGGGCCGUAACUGACGCUGAGGAGCGAAAGGGUGGGGAGCAAACAGGCUUAGAUACCCUGGUAGUCCACCCGUAAACGUUGGGAACUAGUUGUGGGGUCCAUUCCACGGAUUCCGUGACGCAGCUAACGCAUUAAGUUCCCCGCCUGGGGAGUACGGCCGCAAGGCU